AUUGUCACAAGGGUUUGUUAUAUUUUACAAAACAUCAAUAAACAUAUAUUUUUCCAUGUGGACAGAUGAUGAGUCCAUUCCAACCGUUGGAUAGAUAGGACAUGGUCUAGAUUAUCCACAUGUAAAAUUUUAGAUUUAAUUCAAUCAAAUACCCCCUUGAAUUGACAUGCAUCCCGUGUAUAUCCAUGCAUGUAUACCAGUACUGUAGACAAUACUGUGCACUCUCCCAA